UACGGGGGGGGCAAGCGUUGUUCGGAAUUACUGGGCGUAAAGGGCGCGUAGGCGGGCCAUCAAGUCAGGGGUGAAAUCUUUCGGCUCAACCGGAAAAGUGCCUUUGAUACUGGUGGUCUCGAGGGAGGUAGGGGCAUGCGGAACUUCCGGUGGAGCGGUGAAAUGCGUAGAUAUCGGAAGGAACGCCGGUGGCGAAAGCGGCGUGCUGGACCUCUUCUGACGCUGAGGCGCGAAAGCUAGGGAGC
rnacentral:rRNA from 1 species